UAGAAGUCUGGAUGAUUGAUAGUAUCGAUUCCACCUACUUACAGAUAUCAUUGAAUGUAACACCAGAAGUGCCAAAUGUCACGUGAACGCCACGUGCAGCGUCACUAUUGAUGGCUACAUUUGUAAAUGCAAAGACAAUAUGAUCGGAGAUGGACUCUUAUGCGUGGGAUUCAAAGGAUAUCGUUUUCAUUGGGCACUCAAUGGGUCUGAUCCAAAUAUAAGUUUGUACAAUGGUGCUUCCUAUAAAAAUAUGGAUGGCAGGACAGUACUGUACCUGAGUGGAGCCAAUCGUUCCUACGCAGAAACCCCAGCACUCCCGAUCCGAGUUAUCAGCUUUAG
rnacentral:misc_RNA from 1 species